rnacentral:rRNA from 1 species
CCAAGGAGUUUAGCGUGUGCGCGAGUCAUUGAGUGUUAAAACUCAAAGGCGGAAUGAAAGUGAAGGGAACUUCAUGUUUCUGAGGGAAGAUGAGUUUGUCUCUUUUCGAGGCUGCUCCGCACUCCCGGGGCGUCUCUAUCUCAUUGCGAGAGGAGGCGCACCUAGAGCGUACACGCUGAUACCCGAAAGAUGGUGAACUAUGCCUGGCCAGGACGAAGCCAGGGGAAACCCUGGUGGAGGUCCGCAGCGAUUCUGACGUGCAAAUCGAUCGUCGGAGCUGGGUUUAGGGGCGAAAGACCAAUCGAACCAUCUAGUAGCUGGUUCCCUCUGAAGUUUCCCUCAGGAUAGCUUGCGCUCGGGUGAGACGAGUCUCAUCCGGUAGAGCGAAUGAUUAGAGGCCUUGGGGUCGAAACGACCUCAACCUAUUCUCAAACUCCAAAUAGAUGAGAACCCUGGCUUUCUUGAAUUAUGAAGCCAGGGGCUCGGAUCAGAGUGCCAAGUGGGCCAAUUUU